CUGGACAAUGCAAACUGUGCCCAGAGCUUCAGAAAAACCGGCAGUCAUUGAGGUUCCUUGGAUCCCAAGGUGAAGCAUGCUGUGUGGGCAACGGGGACGCUGAGGGCAGAAGGUCCCUCAGUCCAGCCUACAGCUGGGGCAGCCCUGACCACUGGCAGCCGCCCCACCCUGCAGGAUGGAGCCCAGAUCUUCAGCACUUGGAUAGCUCCCCACUGCUCCUCUGCCCCAGCAGGCUUCUCCAAAGUAAGUGGGAGAGCUCCCCUGGUGCAGGCAGGGGGCACAGAGAUGAGCCCAGAGCCACUCACCCAGGAGUCUGCUCAUGGCAUGAAUAGCUAAGAACGGGAGUCGGAGCCAGCUAGCCUGUGCUGAACCCAGCUUGCUGCCACCCCCAUGUCACCGUGGGUGAGUUACUCAAUCUUCCCAAGCCUCUGCUUCCUCAUCUGUGAAACAAGAGAGCCAAGUGACCAGACUAAGGUGCCUGAGAAGGGAGCCUCCGUGCCUCAAGGUUAUGGAAGAACAUUCGCUCACCGCCAUGAUGCAGCUUAUCACUCUGAGUCUGAAUCACAGACCCCUACCCAUCAUUCUGGAGUCAGCUGCUCCAUUGUUAGCUCCCUACACGGGCAGUGCUGGGCUGCAUUCCAGCCUUUGCCCUAGGGUGCAUCCUGGCAGGUCUGGGUCCAGGAAUCCUGGUGGCUGGGUUCACCAAAGACCUUAUCUCCUCCCAGAGUCACCCAAGAGCCUGCAUGGCCCUCUCUCUCCACCUCCAGGACAGGAUCAUCACUUUGAGGAAAUGAGAGCAGAAAAGGAAAUGGCUUGUCCAUAAAUCUUACUGUUAGCUCUGGACACCCACUUCUGUCAGACCCAGGAAGGACCAGGAGUGGAAAACACCAAUUGAUCUCACAGAUGUCAUUCCCUGGCUUCCAGUGCACUCUUCAGCCUUUCAUCGUAGACCCUUCGCCCUCCUGAUAUGGACUCACACAGGACACUACAGUGAACUCUAGCCCUUGGACUGGAUCCUUCGGGUCUCCAGUGCACAGACAGACCUUUUGUACUUUUCCACACCCAACACUGUAAGAG
rnacentral:lncRNA from 1 species